UAGUAGAAGAAUGUUGUGACAAAUGGCGUUGAAGUUAUCUGCUGCUGAAGCAGCUAAGGUUGCGAUUCAGUCUAUAGGAUGUGGAUAUGAUAUAUCAUUGGAUUUGAGGCUCAAGUAUUGUAAAGGUCAUCCAGAUAAUAGUCGUUUAAUUGAAAUUGAUGAAAAUGAGAGUGGGGAGGUUGUGCUUCCUGGUGGAAUUUCAAUACCUAAUGUGUCAAAAUCUAUCAAAUGUGAUAAAGGAGAACACACACGGUUUGGCUCUGAUGUUCUUUCUUUCCAG
rnacentral:misc_RNA from 1 species